CCUACGGGAGGCAGCAGUGGGGGAUAUUGCACAAUGGGGAAACCCGGAGGCAGCGACGACGCGUGUGGGAAGACGGUCCUCGGGAGGGGAAACCACUGUCCCCAGGGACGAAGAUGACGGUACCUGGGGAGGAAGCUCCGGCUAACUACGUGCCAGCAGCCGCGGUAAUACGUAGGGAGCGAGCGUUGUCCGGAAUUACUGGGUGUAAAGGGAGCGUAGGCGGGACUGCAAGUUGGGUGUCAAAUCUACCGGCUCAACCGGUAGCCGCACUCAAAACUGCGGUUCUUGAGUGAAGUAGAGGCAGGCGGAAUUCCUGGUGUAGCGGUGAAAUGCGUAGAUAUUAGGAGGAACACCAGUGGCGAAGGCGGCCUGCUGGGCUUUUACUGACGCUGAGGCUCGAAAGUGUGGGGAGCAAACAGGAUUAGAUACCCCGGUAGUC
rnacentral:rRNA from 1 species